rnacentral:rRNA from 1 species
GAAUUUGACGGUAAUUUAAUCUGUUCAGAGGAGCCUGUAUUUUAAUUGAUAAUCCACGAUAAAUUUUACCUUAAAUUUAAGUUUGUAUAUCUCUGUCUUAAGAAUGUUUUAUUAGAAAUAUUUUCUAUUUUUUAUCUUAAAAUUAUGUCAGGUCAAGGUGCAGUUUUUUAAGGGUUAUUAUGGGCUACAUUUAUUUUUUAAUAUUGGAUAAUGAAUUGAAUUAUUUAUUGGAAAUUGGAUUUGAUUGUAAUUUUUAUUAUAUUUUAUUUAUGAUAUUUGCCCUAGAUUAAGUACAUAUCGCCCGUCGCUCUUAUUAUUCAAGAUAAGAUAAGUCGUAACAAAGUAGGCUUAUCGGAAGAUGAGCCUGGAAUUAAUUCUAAUUGUGUUAUAGAACUAUUGUUAUUUACAUUAACAUAAUAUUUGUGCGAAUCAAAUCAAUUAGAUAUUUAUUAUUUUAAUAAUUAAGUUUAGGAAUUUUAUUAUUAAUAAAAAUAAUUUUUAUGUUAGUAAUGUUUAAUGAAUCUAUUUUUUUAUAUUUAUAGUUUAUAGUACUGUGAAGGAAUAUGUAUAUUGAUUAGUUUAAGGAAAUUUUUUUAUUGUACCUUUUGUAUCAGGGUUUAUUUAAUUUUUACAAUUAUUUAUUGUUAAUCCCGAAAUUAUAAGAGAUAAAUAUUAAUUUAAUUUAAUGUUACAAAAUUAUUUAUUAUUAAUAUUUAGGAGCUACAUGCUAUUCAUUUAUAAAUAUCUGGUUCUUUGAGAAUUGAAUUUAAUUCAUCUAUAAUAUAAUUAUUAAAAAAAAUUAAUUUAAUUUGAUUUUUAUAGAAAAUUUUAUGGGGAUAAGCUCUUAAAAUAUUUUAUAAAUUGUUUAUAUUUUAAAUUUGGUAGGAUUAAUAAUUUCUUUCAUUUAUGUUGUUAUAAUUAAUUUUAGUUUAAUUUUAAAUUUAAAUUGUUUUAAUUUUGUAUCAAAGUUUUUUAUUUAAUAAAAUAAUAAUAGGAAAAAUGAUAGAAUUAGUAUAAUGUUUAUUAUAUAAAUAGUAACUUGGCAAUUAUAAUAUUCACCUGUUUAACAAAAACAUGUCCUAAUGAUAUUUAUAUUAGGUCAGGCCUGCUCAGUGAUUUAUUUUAACAGCUGCAGUAAUUUGACUGUGCAAAGGUAGCAUAAUCAUUUGUCUUUUAAUUGAAGGCUGGUAUGAAUGGUUUGAUGAAAUAUUAACUUUCUUUUUAUAUAAUUUUUGAAUUUUAUUUUUGUGUGAAAAAGCAUAAAUAUUAUUGUAGGACGAGAAGACCCUAUAGAAUUUUAGUGUAAUUAAUUAUUAUUAUUAUUUUUGUUUAUUAUAAGUUUAUUAUAUUAUUUACAUUUUUGUUGGGGUGACAGAAAACUUUGUUUAACUUUUUCUUUUUAGUUUUUAUUUAUUUAUAUAUACAGGAUCCUAAAUAUAGAUUAUAAGAUUAAAUUACCU